rnacentral:rRNA from 1 species
CCUACGGGUGGCAGCAGUGAGGAAUAUUGGUCAAUGGACGAGAGUCUGAACCAGCCAAGUAGCGUGAAGGAUGACUGCCCUAUGGGUUGUAAACUUCUUUUAUAAAGGAAUAAAACGAGGCACGUGUGCCUUUUUGCAUGUACUUUAUGAAUAAGGAUCGGCUAACUCCGUGCCAGCAGCCGCGGUAAUACGGAGGAUCCGAGCGUUAUCCGGAUUUAUUGGGUUUAAAGGGAGCGUAGAUGGGUUGUUAAGUCAGUUGUGAAAGUUUGCGGCUCAACCGUAAAAUUGCAAUUGAUACUGGCAGUCGUGAGUACAGUUGAGGUAGGCGGAAUUCGUGGUGUAGCGGUGAAAUGCUUAGAUAGCACGAAGAACCCCGAUUGCGAAGGCAGCUUACUAAACUGUGACUGACAUUGAUGCUCGAAAGUGUGGGUAUCAAACAGGAUUAGAUACCCUUGUAGUC